rnacentral:tRNA from 1 species
GGAGGGAUCGCAUAGUGGUCUAGUGCGGGCGCCUGCUAAGCGCUUAGAGGCUUAACGGCUUCUCCAGGGUUCGAAUCCCUGUCCCUCCGCCA